GACGAACGCUGGCGGCGUGCCUAAUACAUGCAAGUAGAACGCACAGUUUAUACCGUGGCUUGCUACACCAUAGACUGUGAGUUGCGAACGGGUGAGUAACGCGUAGGUAACCUGCCUGGUAGCGGGGGAUAACUAUUGGUAACGAUAGCUAAUACCGCAUAAUAUUAAUUAUUGCAUGAUAAUUAAUUGAAAGGUGCAAUUGCACCACUACCAGAUGGACCUGCGUUGUAUUAGGUAGUAGGUGAGGUAACGGCUCACCUAGUCGACGGUACAUAGCCGACUCUGGAAGGUGGACGGGCCAAACUGGAACUAGACCAGGCCCAGAAUCCCAACGGAGGGCGCAGUAGGGAAACUUUGGACAAGGACGACAGCCCGAACGAGCCAAGGCGGGUGAGUGAAGAAAGUCCUCCGAUCGUAAAGCUCUGUUGUAACGGGAGAAAGGCUGUGAGACUAGAAAGUCCAGAGUGUGACGGUACCUUAACAGAAAGCAACGGCUAACUACGUG
rnacentral:rRNA from 1 species